AUGUACUUUUCUGCAAGCUUCUCUGAUAUGACAGCUCCGGGACCUUCCUUCAAGCCCCACUUGGUUAUUCUGGAGAUCUUUGUGUAUUUUCACACUUUAAUAAUGUCUUUAAAGCUUCUCCUGGAGAGGCUGAGUAAAUUCAUCCCAGGUCUUUCCCUUUCCUUUGGGGGAAGCAAAACCAAGCCAAGCCCCAAGACCACAGCCUGGGGCUGGGGAUGCCAGCUUUGGGCAGGGCUCCCACCACAGCACAGGCAGCCCUGGAGCCUGGUUUUGCUGCACACGCAGCCUCUUCUUCUGUCUGCAUCUCCCUUUUUUUGUUUUUGUCUCCCUUUUUUUAAAGGACUCUGCAUCCAAGGCUGCCGCGUGGCGAUGUUAUUGUUAGCAGUGAUUUCUAUUUCCAUAGCUCCGGGAGGCAGAGAUCAGAGUCCUGCUGGGCUGAACGCUGCGCGUACCAUAACAAAAAGGCAGUCGUGGUGCCAAACAACUUCCAGCCUUCUCCUUAAUGCUUUCCAUCCUCCUGGUCUCUGCGUUUCCAUCCGCUGUUUUCAAGCAAGCCAGCCGCCAGGAACGCUAUCAGUGCCCGUGUGCUCCUGUCGAUGCUUUCACCCAGCAAUUUGCAGAGCUCCCUGCCUGUAAUCAGCGGCCGAAAGCACCGCGCUUUGUAGGAAGAAACAUCUGGGAUGGCUGCUGGAUCCGGGCAGGCUGUUUCCCAUGAGGAUGAUGAAAAUGAGCCUUUGCUAACAGGGUAACUGAGCCCCUCGCUGACACGCAGUGAGGGUGUCAUUAGGACACUUCUUGCACUGUGGCUGGUGAUGAGCGUGUUAGUGCCCAGAGCCCUAAACCAGCCUUUUUGUUGGGGCUGAGGCACAGCCAGGGUACAAGCUCAGCUCCCUUUUCUGAAUGCAGCUGGUGGGGAACCGGGGGAGGCCCUGUGGUGUCCAAAAGCUGCCCUCCAGCCCUUCCCUAAAUGGGGCAGGACCCCAGACUUGUGGCUGGGAGGAAGAAAGGGCAGAGUAAGGGAGGAGAGGGGCUGAGAGCCACGGGGAGCAGCAGGAGGCACCCCACAGCAUCCCUGCCUGCGGGAGGGUGGGCAGGAGGACAAACAGGGACAUGGUGCCCUCUCCCCUCCUCUCCUUGAUUUAUUGUCCUGCUGUGGGACACCAAACACCUUGAGUAACUCGUGUGCUGUUGGGCAACGUAGGAGGAAAGCUUUUCUCAGAAAAUAAAGCCCUUAAAACAAUUCUUGUUGGCCA
rnacentral:lncRNA from 1 species